rnacentral:rRNA from 1 species
AUGGCGACCAUGGCCGGGCGCUACUGGUGCAGCUACAGCUCGCCUUCUGCGCCGCCGCCCCAGCGGCAGCGCGGGCCUCCGCUGCAGCCGCGACACACGGGAGGACGGGGAAGGGGACUCCGGCGACCGAGCCUACGGGCGGCCGCGUCGGCGGCGGGGGAGCCCGUGAAGGCGGCCACGGACGCCGAGUUCUUCCAGCCCGCCGACUCGAGGCCCAUCAUGCUCUUCGACGGCGUGUGCAACCUCUGCAACGGCGGCGUCCGGUUCGUGCGGGAGCGCGACCCUGGCCGGAGCAUCAGGUACAUCCCCCUCCAGAGCGACUCCGGGAGGAAGCUCCUGCGCCGGUCCGGCAGAAGCCCCGACGACAUCUCCAGCGUCGUCCUCGUCGAGAAGGACAGGUCCUACAUCAAGUCUGAAGCUGUGCUGAGGAUAAUGGAGUACCUCAACCUGCCGUUCCCGCAGCUCGCCGCGUUCCUCAAAAUUGCCCCUCUGUUUGUGAGGGACUUCGCCUACGACAACGUCGCGAACAACCGGUAUGUGGUGUUCGGCCGGUCAGAGACAGAAUCAUGCGAGAUACUCUGA